CUACGUGCCAGCAGCCGCGGUAAUACGGAAGGUCCGGGCGUUAUCCGGAUUUAUUGGGUUUAAAGGGAGCGUAGGCUGGAGAUUAAGUGUGUUGUGAAAUGUAGACGCUCAACGUCUGACUUGCAGCGCAUACUGGUUUCCUUGAGUACGCACAACGUUGGCGGAAUUCGUCGUGUAGCGGUGAAAUGCUUAGAUAUGACGAAGAACUCCGAUUGCGAAGGCAGCUGACGGGAGCGCAACUGACGCUUAAGCUCGAAGGUGCGGGUAUCGAACAGGAUUAGAUACCCUGGUAGUCCGCACAGUAAACGAUGGAUGCCCGCUGUUGGUACCUGGUAUCAGCGGCUAAGCGAAAGCAUUAAGCAUCCCACCUGGGGAGUACGCCGGCAACGGUGAAACUCAAAGGAAUUGACGGGGGCCCGCACAAGCGGAGGAACAUGUGGUUUAAUUCGAUGAUACGCGAGGAACCUUACCCGGGCUUGAAUUGCAGAGGAAGGAUUUAGAGAU
rnacentral:rRNA from 1 species